rnacentral:lncRNA from 1 species
AGUCCUUCCAGCUGUGUUGAGAUUUAUUCCAUACUGCUCCUGGAAAGAAAGAAAGGAAAUGCUCCUUCUCACUGCAUCUCAAAGACCUUUAGUUUCUUAAUAUCACAGGAGAAAUCUGCAACAGAACACAGAACCGAACCACAGUUUCUGGAAUCCUGUUGCAUUAACCACCAGCCCGUAGUCUCUCCCUCUGCUGCUUUCAUGUAUUUUUGCAGCUCUGCUCUGAAAUGUAUUUGAUUUUCAGGACGGCAUGACGUUGUCCAUUUGGGCACAUCUCCAUGCUGUGAUCUUCCCACGCCAUCGAUUCCUGUUCCUUUACGAACCCGACAAGGAUGCGAGUUGGCAAAGAUACGGCAACGCAGACACAGGUAUCGCUUAUCUGAGAAACCCACAGGGGAAAAAAAACCCUCCUGAUUCAGGAGAGAARCAAGUUUUGAAAUAA